rnacentral:misc_RNA from 1 species
CGACAGUCGUUUGUCUUGGUUAGAGUUAGUCCAGAGCUGUCACGUCAACUUGUUACAGAGCUGUGUAUAGUCGGUUUUCUUCUACUGUGCAAGACGUUUGUGAACGGGGCUACGGGUUAUACAUUAACCUCGGCAAAGCAUCGGUGAUGAGAGGGGAGCGGUGGUGGCGCUGUUUAUCGACUGGCGCUAUUACGCAUGCGCAGACGGAUCCUUGGCUUGGCUUGAUCUGGCCAAUGCUGUUGCUGUAAGCUGUAGUGUAGUCUGUCCGAGGUCCGAGCCAGUGACAGCGAGACCAGCAGCUGAGAACUGAGAAAACCACCCUCAUAAUACAUGACAGAUUGAAGAUGGUUGGAGAGAGGAUGGCCUUUGAACAACAGACCAGAAGAUUGCCAGCCAGACCAGUUUGCCAAGUGCAGUCACACGUUACAUAAUUUUCAACAUGUGGCACAUGCAAGUUGUGCCCUAAUGUGCUAUUAUAGACAAUACAAUUGCGAUAAGUUACAGUUAAUUUUGUUUAUUUUCGGUGAUCUUUGUUGUAAACAUGUGCGAUAUCCAGAAAAAGUUCCUUUGUCCAAGGCUUGUUGACUAUUUGGCAAUCGUUGGAGCACGCUCACCUUCAUCUCAAUCGGCUAACAGUGCCUCCACUGCCAGACAGGUAUUAUUGCCAGAACUAUUAAGACGUUACCCAGCCGAAGAUCAUAAAGACUUUCCUCUUCCACUUGAUAUGGUAUACUUCUGUCAACCAGAAGGAUGCAUCUCUGUUGGUCCCAGACGAACCGCUCUCAGGGAGGCGACAUCGUUUGUUUUCACCUUGACUGAAAAGGAUUCUGGAAAAAGUCGCUAUGGAAUUUGUGUCAACUUCUACCGGCCAUUGGAGAGGCCUGGCGCCGCAAGUGCUCACUCGGCAAGGGACAGGCGUGACAGGCAUUUCCGCAGAGAAUCCUGGAGAAAGAGCAUGGAGAAAAGCUCGGACUCUGCCUUCUCCAGUGACUACCGGAGUACGGUGGCGCCGAGUGACUCUGACCGCGACUGUCCGAGUCGCCGGGAUUCGGAGAGCUCGCAUCGCGCGCCUGCGCACAACACCCGCCUCGCCCCCCACCCCACCACGCUCCCCACCAACGACUCGGAGAGUGGCGGCUCGCACUCCCCUUCGCCGCGUGCCAGUCGCAAGAGACAGAGGGUGCGGAAUCAUUCACUAACCUCAUUGUGCCUACUAACUCACCAUCCUUUCUUCUCGAUUUUUAGAGAAUGCCUAUUUAUAUUGAAGCGAUUAAUAGAUGCUUGUAAUGAAAACUCUUCGCCGCGGAGAGUUGGGGCUUCCAGACAAAUAAACAGUGUAUGGAAUGUUCUUACUGGUAGAAUAUUUGAAGGCACGCCUUCAAUCGUGAUCCAUGAUGUUCGAGAAAUAGAGACGUGGAUUCUGCGCCUGCUCAGCGCACCUGUCCCUGUGCCUGGAAAAACUAGAGUUGAAGUGGAAGUGCUGUCGAAAGGCAUUCAUCCGCUGUUGACAUUCGCCCUCCCUGAUCACACGCGCUUCACGUUGGUCGACUUCCCACUCCACCUGCCUCUCGAGUUGUUGGGUGUCGAUACUUGUCUCAGGGUCCUCACACUGAUUAUACUCGAAAAUAAGGUUUUACUGCAAUCGAAAGACUACAACGCCCUUUCAAUGUCGGUGAUGGCUUUUGUAACUUUGAUCUAUCCCCUGGAAUACAUGUUUCCAGUCAUCCCUCUACUGCCCACCUGUAUGAGCUGUGCAGAACAGCUGCUGUUGGCGCCUACACCAUUUGUCAUUGGUAUUCCUGCAAGUUUCUUGUCUCUGAAGAAAAAUUUCAGGUUACCAGAUGAUAUAUGGCUGGUUGACUUGGACUCUAAUAGGAUAACUCCCCCUACUGGAUUCCAAGAAGAUUUGCCGCCUCUUCCUGAACCAGAAGGAACAGUCUUGAAAAAUGUCCUCAGACAGGCGAUGCAGCAAGGUAGUCAGGCCUUGAACAGUCUGUCAGCUCCUAGUCAGCCGAUGGGUGGACAGCAAUCUUCCGGAACGGUGACAACUACUCCGAGAGAGCUUGGCUCCAAAUUGAGGAGAGAAAGUGUUUACCCAUCGCCGCCAUACCAGCAAACUAAUUUAGGUUACGGAUCACCCUGCUUGCAACGGUCAGCCGAAGAUGCGGCCAGUCAAUACCCCCCACACCCGCAGAACUUCCCCCCUCCACAGCACCUGCAAUCCUACCAGCCUCAGUCGAGUUCGUCGCCCGCCUUCAAUCCGUUCAUUUACGGCAACGACGUCGACUCUGUUGAUAUUGCCACUCGGGUUGCAAUGGUGAGGUUUUUCAACUCGAAUAAUCUUUUGGCCAACUUCACUGAGCACACACGUACUUUGAGAUUAUAUCCACGACCUGUUGUCGCUCUUCAAAUCAACAGCUUCCUCAGGUCACGACCCAGAGCUUCAGCUUUCCUCAACAAAUUCGCCAGGACACAGGCGGUAGAAUUUCUAGCUGAAUGGUCGCUGACUCCAAGUAAUGAGGCAUUCCUUAGAGUUCACAACGGCGUUUACGACCCCCAGCAGAUUGGCGACAAGGCCAAGUGGUUCUCUCAUACUUUGGAGCCUAUCAAUUUCUCUGUUUGGGAUGAUACUUCGUCCUUGGCUGGCGCUCUCAAACAUUUGCCUCAACAGGAACAGCCUACAGACGAAAGUGGUUCUGAUUCAGAAGGAGCUGACAGUACAAGUUCGUCCUAUUCAUCUCUCAGUGAUUUCGUGUCUGAAAUGCCUUCGUCGGACUUAUCUCCAAAUUUUUCGACGCCUGAUACGGGACCUGUGGGUUUGAAUACUACCGUAGAUGUUCACGGGGUGUACCACCCUCCGCUAUCAUUACAAGUGCCUGGUGACAAGGAGCUCAGCCCUGUCAGUCCCCCCCACUCCCCGGUCUCAUCCUCGUCCAGUGAUAGUGACAGUCCACAGGAACUCAGACCCGAAGCCAUGGAGAAGGAUGAGAGCUGUAGUUUAGGUGAGUCGGACUCGAAUUCGACGCCUCGCACCGUAAUCAGUAACAAGUCGGCUGGCCAGACUCCCAGUCUAGGCAGUGACACCUCCCUCGACCGCCCCUCCACUCCACGCCGGCUAGUGCCCGUGAGCCCGGGUCCACAGCGACAACCGAGCAUUGGACAGGUGUUGGCGAGAACGGGCAGCUGCUCCAGUAGCUCGCCUCCUGCAGGCAUCACGCGUCAGUCCAGUCAGAGCUCGCUGCUCGAGCAGUUCGCCAGCCAGGCCAAGGAGCUCGUCAGAGAGACCACUCGCCAAAGCAGCCAGGAGGGCCUGCUGGCUCAUGUCGACAAGUUGACAAUUCAUGCGAAGAAGGCAGCUGGAGAGGCGAGUAAGACAGCGUUGGAGGCCAGCAAGACAGCGGCCGGUGUCAGCAAAAACACGUUCGAAGACCUCACCUAUGUGGGCAAGAGUGCCAUCGGAGACUUCACCAAAGGAGCGAAGGAAGUGGCAUCAAAGAAAGGACUUCUCAAGGCUCUAGGAGAGUCAAGAUCUGAUAAUCAGCCUCAGCCCCAAGCCCAGCCUCAGCCACCAGCGCCAGUGCAAGCACCCGCCACCUCCAUAGUGCAGUCUGACAUCAGUCGAACCACCGGCAGAGACUUCUUCUCCAAUCUCGGCGACUUCAAUGUUAACGGCCUAGCUGCUCAGUUCACUGAUUUCUUUGAAGAUAAAGGUAACAAAAAUAGUCGCAGUGUUAAUCAAAAUUCGGGACCUGCAAGACCAAAGGAGAAAGCUCAGCCAUUCGGACCUUUCCCAAAAGGUCGAAAAGGCCCUGUGGAGCGGUCUCAGCUAAUAAGGCAUACAACGACGGGCAGAGGUCGCACGGAUGAAGCUCAACGACAACAAACCCAGGAGCGGUCCACCAGCAACUCGGAAAACCAAGCUUUCCUCAAUGAUGUUGUGAAUCAAGUACUAGCAGGAGAAGGAGUUGGCUGGUUGAAACUCAAUCGGCUCAAGAAGUUGAUGGAAGAUGAAAGUUAUCGAAAUUUUGUACUGAGCAAAAUAAAUAAAACACUUGAGAGAAAAAUCAGCCCUGCGGACCAUUUAGAAGAUGUGUGUGUUUCGAGAGCAGUGUGGAAGGGCAUGUUGAAAUUACUACAAGCUGUUGUUUAUGGCCUAGAACAAACCUAUGCUAAUUACGGCCUUGGUGGAAUGGCUAGUGUCUUCCAGCUACUAGAAAUAGCUCAUACUCACUACUGGACUAAGGACCUUGCUGACACUGGAUUCGAUAGCAUGAUGCUGUCUCAGGCAUCUAGCCCAUUUGGAAGCACUGAAAACGUUCGCUCUCCUCAGAGUCCCAGCAGCUCUCCGAUCCCUUCCAAUUACAUUGAUACAUCUAGAAAAUCAUCACAAGCGAGUAAUUAUGGUGAUAGUGCCGGCCCCCCUCCAUCAGUGCGCCUACAACCCGAGGAGGAAGCAGCGCCGUCCAGUGGCUCUACAUCGGAAAUGCUGCGCGAGAUUUUCAUUCAGAAAAAGCAGAUGAUGUUCCUUUCAAAGCUCACUUCAAUUGAUACUGAGGGUGGGUGCAGGGAGGGUGGGGUGCAUGGGUCCCCAGACGCCGGCUCGUCAGAGGCUGGCUCCAUCGUCACCAAUCCGCACUUCUCGCUGCAGCGCAACCACAAGAACAACGCCUCCUUCCGAUCAACCGUCUCCGACAGUGAAAUUGAACAGGGAAACUAUCCUUGUAUUGGUUUUCCUUGGUUGUACUUGGAAUGGUCUUUCACCAUUCUGAUCCAAAUUUCCACGUCAACCGAAGCAACGCAAUCCAAGUGUAUGGUCGAGUAAAUCUUCGCUGAGUGCCGGAUUCCGUUAUCAUGGAGGAAACAUCCAUAACACGUCCACUACUCCCAGUCCCGAUUCUGGCAGAACCUACAUUUUCGAAGGCCUUAUAGGAAAAGAGAGGUCAACUUUGUGGGACCAAAUGCAGUUCUGGGAGGAUGCGUUCUUGGAUGCCGUCAGCCAAGAAAGAGAUAUGGUUGGCAUGGAUCAGGGUGCAACAGAAAUGAUGGAAAGAUACAAGUGCCUAAGUGAAAGCGAGCGCAAGCGACUCGAGCACGACGAAGACAGACUGCUCUCAACGGUGCUCUACAACCUGACAGCCAUCAUGCUCAUGGUCAAUGUCAACAAAACCGAAUUGAAGAGAAAGAUUCGCAGGCUGCUCGGAAAAAGUCAUAUUGGUUUGGUCUACAGUCAGGAAGUGAAUGUUCUCCUUGACCAGAUCAACAAUCUACAUGGGAAUGACAUCGACUUGAAGCCUGUGGUAUCACGACAGUCGCACAG